rnacentral:lncRNA from 1 species
ACUGGAGCUCUUGGGCAGCCCAUCGCCCACGCUGACCGUGAGGGUCCGACCGCCAACCUUGAGCACUGCCAAGUCGCCGAAGCCGCGGGAGAAGGAGUUGAUGGAGACCUCCAAGAAGCUGGUUCAAGCUCCCUAAACCCAGAGCUGGAGGAAGACCCUGCUGAACAGAUGACGUCACAGUCAGAGGCAGAAGCCCCAGGAUUGGUAGACAGACAGACGUUGGAAUGAGAGAAACAGAGUCCGGACCCCAGACUCAGCUCAGGGGACCAGUGAGACGCCCCCGCCAAAGUUGACCCAGCCCUCACCAGCUUGUUUUCGAUGAGGUCACAGACGACCUUGUUGUUGAAGUACUGGAUUGGAGUCCAGCGGAUGCCUUCCUGCACAUACUCCUCCUGGGGUGGAAAAGGGGGUGGAUGUGGGGGCCAGUGAAAAAGUUGUGGCCACCCUUCCCCCCAUGUCCUCUCCCCUUCUCCAUCUCAUCACUUAGGACUGUCUCUGGUAACAAAGCCCGUCACUCCUAUGUGGGCAAGGCUGGAAGUGCCAGGGAAUUACAUCUGGUUUCAGCAGUCCUUGACCAAUAAUCAACAGGAGUGGGUGGAUAAAUACCCCAGCUCCCUCGCUUCUCCGCUCUAUGAAGCCUCCUCGAGUCCCAGUGCAGUUGCAUUCCGGUUGUCCACAGCAUAACGUGCUCAUUAACACACUAUUUUGACUCUUUUUUUUUUUUUUUUUUUUUUUUUGAGAUGGAGUUUCACUCCUGUUGCCUAGGCUGGAGUGCAAUGGCACGAUCUUGGCUCAUCGCAACCUCCGCCUCCCGAGUUCAAGCGAUUCUCCUGCCUCAGCCUCCCGAGAAGCUGGGAUUACAGGUAUGUGCCACCACGCCGGACUAAUUUUGUAUUUUUAGUAGAGAUGGGGUUUCUCCAUGUUGGUCAGGCUGGUCUCGAACUCCCAACCUCAGGACAUCUGCCCACCUCGGCCUCCCAAAGUGCUGGGAUUACAGGCAUGAGCCACCGCACACAGCUUGCUUUUUUUUUUUGAGACCGGGUUUUGCUCUGUUACCCAGGCUGGAACUCAGCGAUGCGAUCCUAGCUCACUGCAACCUUGACCUCCAGGGUUCAAGUGAUCCUCUCAUCUCAGCCUUCCGAGUAGCUGGGACCGUAGGAGCACACCACCAUGCCUGGCUAAUUUUUAUGUUUUUUGUAGAGAUGAGGUCUCACUAUGUUGUCCAGGCUGGCUUUGAACCCCCAGGCUCAAGCGAUCCUCUUAACUUAGCCUCCUAGAUAGCUGGGACUAUAGGUGUGAGUGAUUGUGUCUGGCUCGGUCUGUCUCUCUCUUUUUUUCUUUUCUUUUUUGAGACAGGGUCUCAUUCUGCUGUUGCCCAGGCUGGAGUGCAAUGGCACAAUCUCGACUCACUACAAGCUCUGCCUCCUGGGUUCAAGCAAUUCUCCUGCCUCAGACUCCUGAGUAGCUGGGAUUACAGGUGCCCAGCACCACACCUGGCUAAGUUUUAUAUUUUUAGUAGAGAUGGGGUUUCACCAUGUUGGCCAGGCUGGUCUCAAACUCCUGACCUCAGGUGAUCCACCCACCUCAGCCUCCCAAAGUGCUGGGAUUACAGGCGUGAGCCACUGCACCCAGCCUCUCUCUCUCUCUUUGUUAAAAAAAUCCCUGUCUCAGGACUGGGCAUAUUAACUCAUGCCUGUAGUCCCAGCACUUUGGCAGGCCAAGGCAGGAGGAUUGCUUGAGGCCAGGAGUUCAAGACCAAUCUGGGCAACAAAGUGAAACACCAACUCUACAAAAAAGUUUUAAAAUAUUAGCCAGGCAUGAUGGUGUGUGCCUGCGGUCCCAGCUACUUGAGAGGCUGAAGUGGGAGGAUUGCUUGAGCCCAGGAGGUGUAGACUGCAGUGACCUGUGAUCACACCACUGCACUCCAGCCUGGACAACAGAGCGAGUUCCUGUCUCAAAAAAAAAAAAAAAAAAAAAAAAGCGGGGAAUGGUGGCUCCCAUCUGUAAUCCCAGCACUUUGGGAGGCUGAGGUGGGUGGAUCACGAGGUCAGGAGUUUGAGACCAGUCUGGCCAAUAUGAUGAAACCCUGUCUCUACUAAAAAUACAAAAAUUAGCUGGGCAUGGUGGUGGGUGCCUGUAGUCCCAGCUGCUCGGGAGGCUGAGGCAGGAGAAUCACUUGAACUCUGGAGGCGGAGGUUGCAGUGAGCCGAGAUCAUGCCACUGCACUCCAGCCUGGGUGACAGAACGAGACUUUGUCUCAAAAAAAAAAAAAAAAAUCCCUGACUUACUUCCUCAGUCUCCUCUUGGAGCUUCCUGGGAUUGCCUCCCAGAAAAACCAUUUGUCUCUGAAUCCUUGCCUCAGGCUCUGCUUCUGGGGGAGGGGCAAAAUGAAGACAGCAGGGACUAUUGCCUUAUUGUUCAUGGCUGUGUCUCCAAGCACCCUAAACAGUACCUGGCACACAACAGGUGCUCAAUAAAUAAUUG